ACCCUUUUCGUUACGUCCCGUUAAUCGUUAUGUCUCCUGUCUACCACAACCUGCGACGCACUAUUCCAAGAAUCCCCGCCACAACAUGGUCCAAGACCCGGAACAACCGAUUCCUCCGUCGCCGCCUCUUCAGCCUCCAAUUCAAGCCGAUACCCAUCCUCCUCAGCCACCACCGCCACCGUUCGAUCCUAGUCGGAUGAUUGGCAUUAUUAAAAGGAAGGCCUUGAUAAAAGAGUUAGCUGCGGUAUACCAUGCAGAGUGCCUUUCAUAUUGUCAAGAGCUUUUGGAACUUCAAAGAAAUUGGGAAGAGCCAUUUGUUGACUUGAAGAUUCCAGAGGAUUCAAAGAAAGAUACAAUUCGGCCUUCCAAACGUGUAAAAAAAUCCCGCUAGGCGUUGAUAUUAAUGUAAGAGUUGCAUCUGAAGAUUCUGAAUUAGCAAAUUCUGUUGGUUUGUUCAAGGUACAAACAUUAAUCUUCAAUCAGAAAACGAAGGUAUCUCUGCAAUUUUUGGACCGUGUACCCUCUCUCAGUACCGUGUUUGUCAUUCAUUAUUUUUGCAUAACUAGCAGCCCGCUAGAUUUGUGUUCAGUGCUUCAGCUGCACCAUUCAGGAAGUCACAUCUAUCUAUGUUUAGUUUCUGUUUACAGAUGCUUUGAUGCAACCAGUGUUGCAUGGAUUCCUUGCUUCAUUAUAUGAGGCACUUUUCCGAACCUUGAUACUGAGAAGUAGGAAGAAAGAGGAAUUAGAAAUGUAAAGUCUCUGGUUCAUCGAGAAUUUGGACGCUGGUGCACUGUAUUGUACAUAUCAUACUUGGUCAAUGGAAUACAAUAUGGUUUGAUAUUA